UAGGGAAUCUUCGGCAAUGGUGGGAACCCUGACCGAGCAACUCCGCGUGAGUGAAGAAGGUUUUCGGAUCGUAAAGCUCUGUUGUUAAGGAAGAACGAGUGUGAGAAUGGAAAGUUCAUGCUGUGACGGUACUUAACCAGAAAGGGACGGCUAACUACGUGCCAGCAGACGCGGUAAUACGUAGGUCCCGAGCGUUGUCAGGUUUUAUUGGGCGUAAAGCGAGCGGAGGCGGUUAGAAAAGUCUGAAGUGAAAGGCGGUGGCUCAGCCAUUGUACGCUUUAGAAACUGUUUAAGUUGAGUGCGGGAGGGGGGAGUGGAAUUCCAUGUGUAGCGGUGAAAUGCGUGGAUAUAUGGAGGAACACCGGUGGCGAAAGCGGCUCUCUAGAAUAAAACUAACGCUGAGGCUCGAAAGCGUGGGGAGCGAACGGG
rnacentral:rRNA from 1 species